UCCAGACUAUAUUUUAGUAUUACCAGAUGAUCCAUACUAUAUUUUGUCGAUGAGGAAAUAGUAUAUUCAGUCAUUAGGUCUACCAUCCACGUGGACCUGAAUUAGUUCAAAAUUGUUGGGGGUUUUAUCUAUAUAUUUCACAGGCAAGACAUUAUUAUUUGUGGUGAACCAUGAAGAACAAGGGGCUGAUAAUAUAGAAAAGUUCGAAUUUAUUUCUGAAAAUAAACAGCUGAAACAUGUGAAACGAUAUCGUGAUGAUACGAUGAUUCUUGUUAAUGAUGUUCAAGCUACCAGCGAAGAUAACUUCUAUUUUACAAACUCCGCAACUGAAUGGAAUCAGCCUUGGUGGUUUGUGAUGUUUUGUCGCUUGGCAUGGAAUACUGUGGUAUAUUUUGAUGGCAGUAACUAUAAGAUAGUAUUAGAUGAUCUAUUUGUAGCCAAUGGUAUAGCAAUGUCUAACGAUGGAAGAGAUGUGUAUAUUGCCAAUAUAAUGAACCGAGAAAUAGUUGUAGCAGAAAGAAAACCAAACAAUGAUCUAAUUAAAAAACAGGUUUAUCCAGUUUAUACAUAUCCAGAUAAUAUUAUAGUCCAUAUGAAAACAGAUAAUCUAUAUAUUGGCUGCCAUCCUUUUAUCUAUAAAAUACAUCAAGCCAUGGAAUACCCCGACUACCAUUCACCCUCACAGGUUUUGAUGUUAUAUGUUAAAGAUGGAAACAUAACGAAGACAAAAGAAUUAUUUUAUAAUGACGGAGAUUUAAUAACAGGGUCUUCAGUAGCCAUUGUUUUUAAUUCUAAAUUACUCAUAGGUUCCGUUUUAGAUAAAACUGUUUUAUGUGAUGUCAAUGUACCUUUGUAAAUAUAGAGAUUCAUCUGUAAUUACAGAGAUUCACCUGUAAAUUAAAC